rnacentral:lncRNA from 1 species
GGGUUUGCUUCCCUCUACUGUUUCGUGUCCUUUUGAUCGCCAACGAGCGGGAGACUACAUGGGUAAGGCAGUGGCAAUGACUGUUUCGUGUCCUUUUGAUCGCCAACGAGCGGGAGACUACAUGGGUAAGGCAGUGGCAAUGGGUAGCAAAACUCUUGAAGAAUCUGCAGACCGUGAAACCCAGAUGACAUGCUUCCGUCCUCCAGAGUAGCCAGUACACGCACGUUUCUGGGGUUGCGCAAUCCAAGCCGAGUCAAGGGCUGUUUCUUACCAUUGGCAUCAUAGAUAGCAGUCACAUGGGGGUGAACCUUAAAUUAUAUAGCAUGGAAAAUCUACAAGAAUAAAUGAAUGCGAGGAACGUCACAUAGGGGUGAAUGUUAAAUUAUAUAGCAUGGAAAUAUUGGGAGAUCAAUGCAAGAGAUCAGGAAACUAGCAAUAAAAGGCAAGCAUUUGGUUCCGCCUAAAUGUUUGUCAUACGUCUCAUAAAACACUAAACGGAGAUUUCUUAAAAACACCAAGCACAAGCAUCCUCUCCACUAAAGAGUAUUCAAGAAACCUGUCAGUCCCACG